rnacentral:lncRNA from 1 species
CCUACUGAAUAAAAGGUAUUUGUUAGUAGGCAUGCUACUUUCUUAGAAAAUAAAUUCAUUCAAGGAGGUAGUGGAAGAAAUAUUAGACUUGGAAAAGUUCAGGACCUACAAACCAAUCCAAAAAUGCCCAUGGUUGGACCACAAGGAGAUCGUCAAUCAGAAGUAUCCAAAGAUGAGGUACAUCCAUAAUACACAUCUCCUCUCCGAAGGUCAGAUAGAGUACGCC